rnacentral:lncRNA from 1 species
CUGGGAAGGGAGCAUAUGUUGUGUCCCUUCUUUUUUCAAUGACCAUUGGUCAGCCUGACUGAAUUGGGUGCAGGGUGAAGGUCCAUGACCUUCUAUGUGUAAGUGGUUUGAGUCAGUCAUGUGGGGAGGCAGACUCAAACAGUGUUCCCUAUACGUCCCCACCCCCAGAAUCACUACCCUGUUGUAGGACCUCUGGCCUGCCCCUAGCUUCACCUUUUCUUUUCCCCCUUGAUUCUCAGAUAGAACUGUAGGACCACUGACCUUCCAGACUUAAAAAAGUAGUCCUUGGAGACAUAGCUAGGAUGUGGGAGGUCUGUCUGAGAGAUGACAUUAAAGGGAAGGGUCUCCUUUCCGCCAUCAUGCUUUCUCUUCUUUAUCAGAAAGACCAGAGACUGAAAUAGCUGCCCCCAUCCCUGAAUACAGUCACUAUGGCAACACAAAUCCAAAGGGACAGGGCACCCCUCGUCAGGCACAACCGCUAGGCAUUAACAGCCUCGCAAGUGUGCCCUCCAUUUCAUUGGGCUCGUACAUCCCCGUCUCCGGGAUCCUAACUGGGUUUUCGUGGUUGUGGUGGUGGUGGUGGUGGGAGAUCUGUCAAAGCUUCUUUAGCUCCAUCGUGCCUGCAUUUUCCCGGACUCCAAGAUGGUGUCAAGUGCCAGAACCGCCAGCAGAGGGAGCAGAAAGCCUGAAAGAGCAGAAAGUCCGCAGUGGGGAGAGGUGCGGAGGUGGCGGCAGUCUUUAGAAGUUGGAGUGAAGGGAACCUCGGGAAAG